rnacentral:rRNA from 1 species
CCUACGGGAGGCAGCAGUGGGGGAUAUUGCACAAUGGGGGGAACCCUGAUGCAGCGACGCCGCGUGGGUGAAGAAGCGCCUCGGCGCGUAAAGCCCUGUCAGCAGGGAAGAAAAUGACGGUACCUGACGAAGAAGCCCCGGCUAACUACGUGCCAGCAGCCGCGGUAAUACGUAGGGGGCAAGCUUUAUCCGGAUUUACUGGGUGUAAAGGGGGCGCAGACGGCGAUGCAAGCCAGGAGUGAAAGCCCGGGGCCCAACCCCGGGACUGCUCUUGCAACUGCGUGGCUGGAGUGCAGGAGGGGCAGGCGGAAUUCCUGGGGUAGCGGUGAAAUGCGUAGAUAUCAGGAGGAACACCGGUGGCGAAGGCGGCCUGCUGGACUGCAACUGACGUUGAGGCCCGAAAGCGUGGGGAGCAAACAGGAUUAGAUACCCCUGUAGUC